CACACUGUAAACGAUGGAUACUAGGUGUAGGGUGUAUUAAACAUUCUGUGCCGCCGCAAACGCAUUAAGUAUCCCACCUGGGGAGUACGACCGCAAGGUUGAAACUCAAAGGAAUUGACGGGGGCCCGCACAAGCAGUGGAGUAUGUGGUUUAAUUCGAAGCAACGCGAAGAACCUUACCAGGGCUUGACAUAUACAGGAAUAAGUAAGAGAUUACUUAGCUCUUCGGAGUCUGUAUACAGGUGGUGCAUGGUUGUCGUCAGCUCGUGUCGUGAGAUGUUGGGUUAAGUCCCGCAACGAGCGCAACCCCUGCCCUUAGUUGCCAGCACGUAAAGGUGGGAACUCUAAGGAGACUGCCGGUGAUAAAUCGGAGGAAGGUGGGGAUGACGUCAAAUCAUCAUGCCCUUUAUGUCCUGGGCUACACACGUACUACAAUGGCCGUGACAGAGAGAAACGAAGUAGUGAUGCAGAGUAAAACUCAAAAAACGGUCUCAGUUCGGAUUGAAGGCUGAAAUUCGCCUUCAUGAAGCUGGAAUUGCUAGUAAUGGCAGGUCAGCAUACUGCCGUGAAUACGUUCCCGGGCCUUGUACACACCGCCCGUCACACCAUGAGAGUUGGAAAUACCCGAAGCCUGUGAGCUAACUUAUAGAGGCAGCAGUCGAAGGUAGAGCCAAUGAUUGGGGUGAAGUCGUAACAAGGUAGCCGUAUCGGAAGGUGCGGUUGGAUCACCUC
rnacentral:rRNA from 1 species